AACGAACGCUGGCGGCAUGCCUAACACAUGCAAGUCGAACGAGACCUUCGGGUCUAGUGGCGCACGGGUGCGUAACGCGUGGGAAUCUGCCCUUGGGUUCGGAAUAACAGCGAGAAAUUGCUGCUAAUACCGGAUGAUGACGUAAGUCCAAAGAUUUAUCGCCCAAGGAUGAGCCCGCGUAGGAUUAGCUAGUUGGUGAGGUAAAGGCUCACCAAGGCGACGAUCCUUAGCUGGUCUGAGAGGAUGAUCAGCCACACUGGGACUGAGACACGGCCCAGACUCCUACGGGAGGCAGCAGUGGGGAAUAUUGGACAAUGGGCGAAAGCCUGAUCCAGCAAUGCCGCGUGAGUGAUGAAGGCCUUAGGGUUGUAAAGCUCUUUUACCCGGGAUGAUAAUGACAGUACCGGAGAAUAAGCUCCGGCUAACUCCGUGCCAGCAGCCGCGGUAAU
rnacentral:rRNA from 1 species